rnacentral:rRNA from 1 species
GCCUUAGUACGGCGAGUGAGCGGCAAAAGCUCAAAUUUGAAAUCUGGUACCUUCGGUGCCCGAGUUGUAAUUUGGAGAGGGCAACUUUGGGGCCGUUCCUUGUCUAUGUUCCUUGGAACAGGACGUCAUAGAGGGUGAGAAUCCCGUGUGGCGAGGAGUGCGGUUCUUUGUAAAGUGCCUUCGAAGAGUCGAGUUGUUUGGGAAUGCAGCUCUAAGUGGGUGGUAAAUUCCAUCUAAAGCUAAAUAUUGGCGAGAGACCGAUAGCGAACAAGUACAGUGAUGGAAAGAUGAAAAGAACUUUGAAAAGAGAGUGAAAAAGUACGUGAAAUUGUUGAAAGGGAAGGGCAUUUGAUCAGACAUGGUGUUUUGUGCCCUCUGCUCCUUGUGGGUAGGGGAAUCUCGCAUUUCACUGGGCCAGCAUCAGUUUUGGUGGCAGGAUAAAUCCAUAGGAAUGUAGCUUGCCUCGGUAAGUAUUAUAGCCUGUGGGAAUACUGCCAGCUGGGACUGAGGACUGCGACGUAAGUCAAGGAUGCUGGCAUAAUGGUUAUAUGCCGCCCGUCUUGAAACACGGAA